rnacentral:lncRNA from 1 species
AACCUCGUGUAAUUUGGACGCUAGAGCUGCACAACAAGUUCCUAGCUCGUCUUCUAACAACACAAGACGAGAACACAAUGAACACCAACUGGUUUCAGAAUGCUUAGGUUACGUAGCGCCUGAGCUAGAGUUUCAGAACUAAAGGGUCAACGAGAAAUGCGAUGUUUACGGGUUUGGAGUUCUGAUACUCGAACUCCUGACUGGUCGGAGACUCCUGGAGUACGGUGAAGACAGCUUUGUGAUACUAAGCGAUCAUGUUCGAGUUUUGUUAGAACAAGGGAAUGUGUUGGAGUGUAUUGAUCCUACAAUGGAGGAAGAAUACUCUGAGGAUGAGGUUUUGCCUUUUCUGAAACUUUCUCUUGUCUGUACUUCUCAGAUUCCUUCAAAUUUGCCUACAAUGGCAGAGAUUGUUCAGAUCUUGCAGGCCAUCAGUUCUCCUGUUCCUCACCGUCACCGGAUGCUCGAUAGUUUUUCAAAAAGCUCUGUGUUAAUUUGAUUUUCUAUUAUGCAAUAUUUUCUUUCUUUUUAUUUAUUUUUUUUACUUUUUUUGUAGAGAUUGCUUUCUUUCACAAUGGUAUGUUCUAUCUUUCUCGCUACGUCAAUCAUGAAUCAUCUUGACGAUCAUUGACCAUUGUUAUCAUUAAUAGGCUUUUUCCUGAGAAUUUUUCACGUGUUUGUAAGUUAGCAAAUAAUACAAACGUACAAUAAUUACUGAUACUGGAAAAACUAACUUUGUUUCAUAUCUACAUGGCAUUUUAUUGUCUGCUUCAUCAUCUUGCACAAGUGUGCGUACAUAUUAAUAUGCUUUCACCUACUUACACUAUAACUAUUUACAGAACCACUCUGUUUCUCAUAUUUACAACUUCAUUUGGGUAUAUACUACACCGACAUCAAGAAUUCAUAGCCGACGAUAACACAUACCGCCACACUUCAUCUGGUUUUCAAAGCACUGAUGAGUUCUCCGUUUGUUGUACUAUUUGAUACAUUCGAUAUAUGAGCUUUAACCUGUAACUGCGACAUUGAAGAAUCCAAUUAUAUUAUUGCAUACGCAAUCACUCUCCUCCUUCUUCAUUUUUAAAGCAAUCUAAGAGUCUAAAUUAGAAUUUAAAGCGAUACUUUUGAUGAUCCUAUAGGUUCACAAAUUCUGAAGAUCGUAAUCAAAAACGUGUUUGUUAGCUUACCCCUACGGAGUUCUGUUGCAUGAAGCGCAUAUGUUGAAAGAUGCACUACACAAGCUUUUUUUAAAGGAGAUGAGCUACACAUGCACAAACGUAAUCCAUAAUUAAAAAAAAAACAUACAACAUGGUAAACACAAUUACCAAACAAAACAUAAAGUCACUCUCCUCAACUGCACAAGCACACAAAUCAAAACAAACAAAUGCAGUUCCUUUUAUAUACUAUGCACAUGAACUUAAUAGUAUAAGUAUGUUGUCUAAAUAAAACAUCAACUUUACUUCUUCUUCCUUUUCGGUCGAAAAAACAUCAACUUAACUAAAUGUUUAGAUUCCGAUUAAAUUAACUUUGUUAUAACUAUUGACUUUUUAUUCUAUUUUUAUUAAAUCUAUUAGUGAUAUUCCACUUUGAACUAAACAACAUUAAAAUAAAGUAAUAUACUACGGUCGCUAACCAAUAUCAAAUAGAUCAGAAAAAUAUUAUUCUCUUUCAACAUAUUUUCAUUUUCAUAUUUUUAAAUAUAUUUUGUUUACUAAGAUUAUAAAUGAACUUUAAAUUUAUUUAAGAAAAAAUAUACUAACCCGGCGCGUAGCGCCGGAAUACCACUAGUAUAAAAAUAAAUUAGGGAUUUCUAUAUAUAAAACAAGUAAGACGCUUCCCUCGAAUACCUUCAUCGCUCCUCUCGAAAUCAA